GAUGACCAGCCACACUGGAACUGAGACACGGUCCAGACUCCUACGGGAGGCAGCAGUGGGGAUAUUGCACAAUGGGCGCAAGCCUGAUGCAGCCAUGCCGCGUGUGUGAAGAAGGCCUUCGGGUUGUAAAGCACUUUCAGCGAGGAGGAAGGUGGUGAGCUUAAUACGUUCGUCAAUUGACGUUACUCGCAGAAGAAGCACCGGCUAACUCCGUGCCAGCAGCCGCGGUAAUACGGAGGUGCAAGCGUUAAUCGGAAUUACUGGGCGUAAAGCGCACGCAGGCGGUUUGUUAAGUCAGAUGUGAAAUCCCCGGGCUCAACCUGGGAACUGCAUUUGAAACUGGCAAGCUAGAGUCUCGUAGAGGGGGGUAGAAUUCCAGGUGUAGCGGUGAAAUGCGUAGAGAUCUGGAGGAAUACCGGUGGCGAAGGCGGCCCCCUGGACGAAGACUGACGCUCAGGUGCGAAAGCGUGGGGAGCAAACAGGAUUAGAUACCCUGGUAGUCCACGCUGUAAACGAUGUCGAUUUGGAGGUUGUGCCCUUGAGGCGUGGCUUCCGGAGCUAACGCGUUAAAUCGACCGCCUGGGGAGUACGGCCGCAAGGUUAAAACUCAAAUGAAUUGACGGGGGCCCGCACAAGCGGUGGAGCAUGUGGUUUAAUUCGAUGCAACGCGAAGAACCUUACCUACUCUUGACAUCCAGAGAACUUUCCAGAGAUGGAUUGGUGCCUUCGGGAACUCUGAGACAGGUGCUGCAUGGCUGUCGUCAGCUCGUGUUGUGAAAUGUUGGGUUAAGUCCCGCAACGAGCGCAACCCUUAUCCUUUGUUGCCAGCGGUUCGGCCGGGAACUCAAAGGAGACUGCCAGUGAUAAACUGGAGGAAGGUGGGGAUGACGUCAAGUCAUCAUGGCCCUUACGAGUAGGGCUACACACGUGCUACAAUGGCGUAUACAAAGAGAAGCGACCUCGCGAGAGCAAGCGGACCUCAUAAAGUACGUCGUAGUCCGGAUUGGAGUCUGCAACUCGACUCCAUGAAGUCGGAAUCGCUAGUAAUCGUAGAUCAGAAUGCUACGGUGAAUACGUUCCCGGGCCUUGUACACACCGCCCGUCACACCAUGGGAGUGGGUUGCAAAAGAAGUAGGUAGCUUAACCUUCGGGAGGGCGCUUACCACUUUGUGAUUCAUGACUGGGGUGAAGUCG
rnacentral:rRNA from 1 species